rnacentral:sRNA from 2 species
AUCCCUACCAGCCCUCCUCAACAUCGGGCCCCCCGUUUCAUCGCAGGAGGGACGCACAGAGAUGAGGAUACGAGAAAUACACCUAGCCCCGCCAUGUCCCAUUUCCCACAUCCCAUUUCCGAUUUCCGUGGCGCAAUCCUACUGCGAGGUCAGCCUGCAUUUUUUGGGGGCUGCGCUUGGGUGACUUAGUGACUUGGUCCCUUGGUGAAUUUGGAAAAGUACAGAGUCCGUCGGCCAAUCUUUCAUCUUCCAUCUUCCAUCGUCCAUCGUCCAUCUUUUCAUUUCCUACGCGCCGGACGGAGGAAAUCCGGACCCUUUACCUGCGUUUAAACUACCACCACUAACCACUAACCACUAACUACUACUACUAACGAGUAAGAUUUGCCUCAAUUGACCCCCAGAUCCGCGGUCCAUUUCCGCGGAAUCAACCCUGGGGGGGUAGUUAGUUAGUUGUUUCGUUAGUCGUUGACUAGGUAAGUUAUCCAUAACUGCUUUCCUUGCAACACGCCCGUGCCAGGUCGUUCUGGUCUGGUCGCUCUUAUCAAGCUCAACAAUCGCUUAUUUUUAUUUUUAUUUUUUUUUUUUUUGCUAAUCAUAUUAAUUUUUUUCUGGCUCUCUAGAACACACACACACUGUUUUUAAUGUUUAAUGGUUAAUUUCAAUUUACUUUUGUGGUUGUUGAGGAAUCGAGGAUUUAAAAGCCAUUGCUCUAGUAGUUAUGUAGGAAACCGGGGUGUUAGGAGUUAGUUAGGAGGUGGAUUAUGUUGUUCGGGCAACCCUGAGCUUAUUUUGGGGCGCUUAUGGACCUGGAUACUCGAUUGAGGGUUGAGUGUCAUGUAAGACAAUUUAUGCCUUUAUCCCACUUCCAGCAGCUUCGUACUGCACUAUCAGUAGAAAUAGG